CACUCCUCAUAGGUGGUAAUUGUCUCAUAGUAAAUUUCUUAAUAAUACAUGCAGAGUUUUACAACAAAGAUAAUAAAGGGCUAUGUCAACAUGCCUGAAAAAGCUCCAUUAAGAAACUGAAAUCCCUAUCUUCAUAACAAAGAAGCCAUUAUUAGUUUGUUGACGAAUCCAACCCUAGUCUGCAUCAUACAAAAUAGAAAAUUCAUAUUAAAAUGGAAUGUCUUUAAGUUAGCCUACACAAAAAGGAUGAAAACAAUUAACUAUGCCAAAUGAAAGCGUAUUUUUUUACAGGUUUCAAUAUUGAAAAGUGUUCUGAGUCAAGAACAAGCCAAAUUUCCACAAUGAGAGAGAAAGGUUAAAUUCUUUUAGAAAACACAGCAGUACUUUGAAGGACACUCAUUUAAAUGAUUAGUGUAUGCACAAGCUACUUGAAGACAUCAUUUAUUUCUCUUCUUACAUUUAAAAUUUAUAGACCAUGGUGUAGCUACAAUCUAGAAUAUUUUUCUUUGCUGCAGCUCACUAUGUUUAGAAAAUAAAAAUACACCAUAAUAUGAGAUUCAUAUGAAAAGAGGAUAUGUCAUUGCAAUACCAGCCGGUUCUUUUUGGAAAAGAUCGAGUUCUGGGUUAAAGUCAAAUUUACUCUAUAAAGUUAGUUUAUUUCUUUUCUCAAUCUAUAUAGGAGCACUGUUAAGGAGCUUUCAACAUCCAGUUAGGAAGUGCAUUUCCAGCUCUUAAAUUCUGUGAGUCUUAUUAAUGCAUCAAAAUGGUAUCAAAGCAGUCUCCAUCCAUGGGCGUGACAGGACUUUGAAAUCCAAGGUAUUAAAACAGAUAAAUGAUAAUUUGUUCAUCAUGGUGAAAACACUGAACACAUACAAUUGUAUGAAAACAAGACAAAAAAUGUGUGCAAGGGGAAAUGCGGGAUUACAAGAAGCAUAUAAAUAGAAACUCCAUUUGACGCCAAUAUGCAAUAGUUUGCUGAUGUGAUCUGCAGAUUAUUGUUGUUAAGGUCCAUAGUAAAACACAGGAGGAAUCCAGACAAGAACAAGUACAUGUGUUCUCCAAUCUCGCAUCAACCAUUGAUGUCUUUAAAUCAAAGUCAAGGAAAAAAACCAAGUCUACUCACAAAAUUUUCAACGCUCCUUCUUGGUUUCUUUGUAUGUAUUUGCCUUUUGUUUUCUAUUGUAUUCGUAGGUUAUUUGAAACAAUAAAAAAAAAAUUCUUUUUGCUAUAAGUCAAGUCAACUAAUGUGGGAUGCCAACUACGGAAUAAACAAGGCAAGCCUUAGCAAAAGCUUCUCUGAUCCAAGGACAUUGCUAGUGAACAGUAAUUUUCCAAGAAUGACUUAAUCUGUAUUGCUGGUUAGUUGACUAGUUGGCAUAUGUUGUGAUAACCUAAAAGGAUCAAUCUGUUCCACAUACCAAUUAAUUUGGAUUGUACAGUAGUUUUACAGCACAAACAAAAGGGGCAACUCUAAAACAGAAAAGGGUGCAUUCUUCUAAAAACCUUGAAUGGCGUCGUAGCAUUAUAUGGACAAAUGACAUUAGACUGAGCCAUUUUCACUACUUCAUCGCGAAUGGGCCUGUGGCUCAAUGGUAGCACCCCUCUCACAAAAAUGGAGAGGUUGUGGGUUCGAAACACGUCAACAGCUGAUUGUUGAUAUAAGUUUCCACACGUAAUUUAAAAAGGGGUAGGGGUCCCCUCAACCCCGCUUGCCAAUCAAAAAAAAUAAAUUCACUACUUAUAAAAUGAAAGUGUUCCUCUCUUCCUUACUCAGGUUAUGCUUAUACAGCACAAGAAACAAUAUGCCAACCAUCUAGCUUCUUUAUAAGUAGUUUGAUCGUCAGACAAUUGACAACUAACUCAUACAAACUCACUGUAAUAAAUGAGUUAUAAACCUCAAACUUCAUGAUAAAAACAAAUUCGCAAAUCAUGAAAGCAACACAAUAAUAUUAGGGUUAUAUACAUGGAAUGAACAAAUAAAGAUACACAGGGUAUAUAAACAUGCCUGAAAAGUUCCAUUAAGAGCAACCUAUCUUCGUAACGCAGAGCCAUCAUUGUUCUGUCAACGGAUUCAACCGUAGUCUGCAUCAUAUAAAAUUAAAAAUUCAUAUCAAAAUGGAAUGUCUUUAACUUAGCUUGCCCAAAAAGGUUGAAAACAAUUAAUUAUGCCAAAUGUAAAGCAUAUUAUUUAACAGGUUUCGAUAUUUGAAAGUGUUCUGAGUUAAGAACAAACCAAAUCUCCACUAUUAGGAGAGAAGAAGGUUAAAUUCUUUUAGAAAACACCAGUACUUUGAAGGAUACCCAUUUCAAUGAUUAGUGUAUGCACAAGCUACUUGAAGAGAUCAUUCUUCUUCUCUCCUUACUGUUAAUAUUUAUAGACCAUGGUGUAGCUAGAAUCUAGAUUAUUUUUCUUUCCUGCAGGUCACUAUGUUUAGAAUAUAAAAAAAAACCUUAAUAUGGGAUUCAUACGAAAAAGAGGAUAUGUCAUUGCAAUACUAGACGGUUGGCAGGCUCUUGUAGAGCAGAGUUCUGGGUUCAAGUCCAAUUUACUAUACAAAAGUUAGUUCAUUUCUUUUCUCGAUCAAUAUACGAGCACUGUUGAGGAGCUUUCAGCAUCUGGCUAGGGAGUGCAUUUCCAGGUCUUAAUAUGUUUAAGUCUUAUUAGUGAAUCAAAACGGUAUCAAUGCAGUCUCCAUGGGCAUCACUCAUGUAAGAAUCCACCCCAUAAAUAUCUGACAGGACUUUGAAAUCCAAGCUUUGAAAACAGAAAAAAUGAUAGUUUGUUCAUUAUGGUCAAACAUAGAACACAUAGAAAUGGUAUGAAGACGAGACAACAAAUGUGUACAAGGGGAAAUACAGGAUUAUGAGAAGCAAAUAAACAAAAGGCCAUUUGUCGUCAAGAUGGUACAUGCAACAGUUAGCUGAUGUGAUCUGCAGAUUAUUGUUGUUAAGGUCCAUAACAAAACACAGGAGGAAUCCAGACAAGAACAAAUAGCAUGUGUUAUCCAAUAUGGUAUCAGCCAUCGAUGUCUUUAAAUCAAAUUCAAGGAAAACCAUGUCUAGUCCUUGCAGAAUUUUCAAGCUCCUUCUAGGUUUAUUUGUAUGUAUUUGCCCUCAAUUAUUGUAUACGUAGGUUAUCUCAAAUGAUAAAAAGAAAAUUUCUUUGUGCUAUAAGCCAAGUCAACUGUGGAAUGUCAACUAGGGAAAAAACAGGGCAAGCCUUAGACAAAGCUUCUUUGAUCCAAGGACAUUUAUCUAGUGAACGGUAAUCCAUCAAGUAUGACUAAAUCAAUAUUGUGGUUAAUUCAUAUAUUUGUUGUGAUAACCUGACAGGAUCAAUUUUCUCCAUACAACUACCAUACCAAUUUGGAAUGUACAAUAGGUUUACAGCACGAACAAAGGGGCAACUCCAAAACAGAAAAGGGUCCAUUCUAUGUUGGUAAAUUCUUCAAAAAAUCAUAAAUGGCGUCAUAGCCAUUUAUGCACAAAUGACAUUAAACUGAUUCAUUUUUACUAUUUCAAGACAAAAGGAUACUCUCCUCCGGUCUCUCCCCCUCUUGCUUUUUCAUAUGGUACAAACAUUUCAUCAUACACAUAAUGUGCAGAAAAAGAAAAAUUAAGUAAUGUGAAGAAAGAAAGAAAAAAAAUUGAUAUGAUCAGUUCCUUUUUAGGUUCUAACUUGAAAACCAUGCAAAUAUAUAUAGUGAAAAUAAAGAACUUACAAUUAUGAUGAACAAGAUUGUUGUAGAGACGAGCCUGGUUAUGAGUUAUUUGGUUAUAUUUCAAACACAAUCCAUUUAUGCUUAUUAGUGUCAUGCUUAUUUGGCCUUAUUUCAAACACUGCACUUAUGUGUGAAUAUGAAUGUUAAGUUUGUCAUUCCUCUGUUUUCAGUCUUUAAAUUAAGUAUUUUGGCCUUUAGGGCUGUUUUUAAGAGUUGUGUAACACAAUUUCAUUGUUGUUGUUGUUGUGGUACUUCAUCAGUCAUCACAAUUGUUAGUCUUCAUAUAUUUGAGAGAGUAGUCAAAUACUAGAGGAAAUUGAAGGUAUUUCCAUAACUUAACUUCCCAAAACUUCCUUUGAAACUACUGCGAAUCGCUGUACUUAAAUAAUCUCUUCAUAGCCAUAUCAUACCUACUAGCCAAUCAGCCAUAUUAGACUGAGGUAGCUACCUGUUAGCGAAUAACUCUAGUUGGCAUCUGCAAUGGCUGUGCUAUUUUAUCCAUGCCACAUAAGAUCAGAAGGUACAACUUGUUAAAAGUUUUAGCAAAUGUAAUAAUUAACAAACUCAAUGUAACAUUACAAUAAAAACAAUUUCCCAAAUUAUGAAAGAAACAUAUAUUACUUAUAUUCCAUAUAAACAUGGAAUUGAAUGGCAAGAACCUAACCUUGUCAAUAAUUUUAUACCAAUGCAAUCCAUCUAAAUUAACCCUUUAAUUUGUUUGUUUGUUUCUACUUCAACACUAACAACCUAUCAUCUUGCUAAAAAAAAAAAAAAACUUCACACAGAAACACACAUUGUAGAGCAAAAACAUAACAAGAAAAAAAAAAAACAUUACCUCGAGUGCUCUUCAAGAAGAGCCAUGUUGAUAAACUUCUACUUCUAACAUCACUCGGGGACAAAUUCACCUGCCAAUUGUUUGAUGAAAAGGUGUGGAAUUCCCUCAGUAUCACCAGAACAAAAGAAAUGCUUUGCUCAGCGGUGAGUUACCCAGAAUGUAGACGGCCCAUCGAAGCUCAAAGUGGAUCUUACAUUAAAAAAAACCCAAGAAAGGCCCAAAUAUAAUACUAUCCAUACACGCUGUAAAUGGGCCGCUCAAGAUUAGACCCAUGCCAUAGUGAAUCAGUG
rnacentral:lncRNA from 1 species